rnacentral:rRNA from 1 species
GAUGAACGCUGGCGGCGUGCCUAAUACAUGCAAGUCGAGCGAAUGGAUUGAGAGCUUGCUCUUAUGAAGUUAGCGGCGGACGGGUGAGUAACACGUGGGUAACCUGCCCAUAAGACUGGGAUAACUCCGGGAAACCGGGGCUAAUACCGGAUAACAUUUUGAACCGCAUGGUUCGAACUUGAAAGGCGGCUUCGGCUGUUACUUAUGGAUGGACCCGCGUCGCAUUAGCUAGUUGGUGAGGUAACGGCUCACCAAGGCAACGAUGCGUAGCCGACCUGAGAGGGUGAUCGGCCACACUGGGACUGAGACACGGCCCAGACUCCUACGGGAGGCAGCAGUAGGGAAUCUUCCGCAAUGGACGAAAGUCUGACGGAGCAACGCCGCGUGAGUGAUGAAGGCUUUCGGGUCGUAAAGCUCUGUUGUUAGGGAAGAACAAGUGCUAGUUGAAUAAGCUGGCACCUUGACGGUACCUAACCAGAAAGCCACGGCUAACUACGUGCCAGCCGCCGCGGUAA